rnacentral:lncRNA from 1 species
UUUAACAACAACAUUUUCGUUAUUCACACAAUUCAAUCAAAUUUCAUGGGUUUAACAUCAACAUUUUCAUCAUUACAUAAUUCAAUCAAAUUUCAUGGGUUUUACAUCACAUUUUCAUCAUUCCCACAAUUCAAUCAAAUUUCAUGGGUUUAACAACAACAUCUUCAUCAUUCACACAAUUCAAUCAAAUUUUAUCUGUUUAAUAACAAUAGAUUCAUCUUCACACAAUUCAAUCAAAUUUCACGGGUUUAACAAUAACAUUUCCAUCAUUCACACAGUUCAAUCAGAUUUCAUGGGUUUAACAUCAACAUUUUCA